CUCAGUUUAGGGAACUCUUCUAGUUUAGGCAACUCGGUGGCCAUGCUGGCCUGUCUCCAUCCCUUUUACCCUGCCCCAGAAAUACAGAAGUUCCCGCCGAAAAGCGGUUUCGUUAUCCGAGGUUUCAAUUACCUGUGGUCAACGCGUGUCUGAAGGAAGAUGACUCUCCACAGGACGAAUCGUCAGAGGGUUAGUAGCAGCCGAACGCUACGUCACAACGCCUGCGUCAUUCCCCUCACGUCAUCCCGUCACGCAGGCGUUUUAUCGUCUUGCAUCAGCACAAGGGUGGGUACAGCCCCAUGAAACAUUUUCAGAGAGCCCGCAUUCAGCUGAGCUUAGUGACGUUUCGAGCCUCAGUCCACAGGGAGGACCCUGGAUAUUCUGGAUGCUCUGAAUUGAAUAGCCCCUUUCUUACUCUCCUCUCCUGCAUUUUUAGUGAAGAAGAAAUUGAUAUCCAGAGAAGUUAUGUGACCACAAAACAGAAGAACUUGAAAUUAAGUCUCUCAAAUUCCUACAUCACACUUGGAUGAUAUGUAGGAGAAAAUAAUCAGAUGCAUAUUCAUUCUCUGACCUCUGCAGGUAUGGGUUAUGUGGGGAAACAAAAACUGUUAUUAAGUGUUCCCUAAUGAACUGGUAGUAGAGUUUGCAAUAUUGGUCUGAAA